ACUCAAAUGAAUAGACGGGGGCCCGCACAAGCGGUGGAGCAUGUGGUUUAAUUCGAUGCAACGCGAAGAACCUUACCUACCCUUGACAUCCGACGAAUCCCGCUGAGAGGCGGGAGUGCCGAAAGGAGCGCCGAGACAGGUGCUGCAUGGCUGUCGUCAGCUCGUGUCGUGAGAUGUUGGGUUAAGUCCCGUAACGAGCGCAACCCUUGUGCUUUGUUGCCAUCAGGUCAAGCUGGGCACUCAAAGCAGACUGCCGGUGAUAAACCGGAGGAAGGUGGGGAUGACGUCAAGUCAUCAUGGCCUUUAUGGGUAGGGCUACACACGUGCUACAAUGGGCCGUACAGAGGGAAGCGAACCUGCGAAGGGGAGCAAAUCCUAUAAAACGGUUCAUAGUCCGGAUUGGAGUCUGCAACUCGACUCCAUGAAGUUGGAAUCGCUAGUAAUCGCGAAUCAGAAUGUCGCGGUGAAUACGUUCUCGGGCCUUGUACACACCGCCCGU
rnacentral:rRNA from 1 species